UCCAAACCUAAUACUUCUUCAAGCCUAAACACUCUUCCAAGCCAUUCAAGUCCAACUCCAAGCGUUUUAUGUGUUUUUUGGUCGAAGAUUCCAAGUAAUAAUCUACUACCACCCAACAUUUUUCCAAACCUUAGCCGCAACAUUCAGUUUCCUUCCUCUCUCAUUUUCUGUGUUCAUUGCUCAUUGCUCUUCAGGCAUCGCUCGUCGCUCAUCGCUCAUCGCUCAUCACUCAUCGCCAUCGCUCUUUGCAGUCUCUCACCCCAACGCCACCGCGUCUGCCUCUCUCUCCUCUCAAUCCAAAGCAGGUCAUCGUCUCUUUCUCUCUCUAGUCCCUUAUACAGAUCUGUAUUUGUUUCUCUCAACGAUCUGUGUUUCUUUUGAUGCUUUUAUUUCACUUUUGAUUUCAUCUAUUUGUUCUCAUAUGGGUAUUGAUAGUUUCUGUGAUUUUGUGCUGAUGCUUUUACAGAGAUCUGAUUCUUUUUUCUUUUUUUUCUUUUGAUUUUUUCCUGUUUUGUUUUGACAGACGUGUGUUCUCUAUGUCAAAUAUCAUUCCUUAGUGGCAUCUAAAUCUUCGAAAGUUGUUGUAAACUUUAGGCUGGAGUUCAUUCAUUCAUUAUUAUUCAGGAAAAGAAAAUGAAGUUACAACAAUUGACAAUAUGUUGCUCUUUGAAACAGGUACUGAAGCCGCAUGGAUAAAAAGGAAUGAUUAAUAUUUUUUAUUUUGUCAUAAAGUAAUACUAGCCUCUCUGCACGCGCUUCCGCGCUUGCGAGAGGUUUUUUUUAAAAAAUAAGUAAAUUUAUUUUAGAAUUAAAAAAGAUAAUGGAUAGUUGUGUUCCAUAAAAAUAGGAUCCAUUAUCUGCCUUUUCUUUUUCUUUUAAUUUUUUUAAAUAUGAAAAAGUGUGAAUUUACCAUAUUAUCCUCAUUUAAUUAAUAAUUUGAAUUCUUAAUGUUUGCAUUAACCAAGGACAUUUUCUGGUAUUUUGAAUGUUUCACCAUUC
rnacentral:lncRNA from 1 species